CCUACGGGAGGCAGCAGUGGGGGAUAUUGCACAAUGGGGGGAACCUUGAUGCAGCGACGCCGCGUGGGUGAAGGAGUGCUUCGGCUUGUAAAGCCCUAUUGGAAGGGAAGAAGCAUGACGGUACCUGAUUAAGAAGCACCGGCUAAAUACGGGCCAGCAGCCGCGGCAAUACGUAUGGGGCGAGCGUUAUCCGGAUUUACUGGGUGGAAAGGGAGCGGAGACGGCACUGCAAGCCCGGGGGGAAAGCCCGGGGCCCAACCCCGGGACUGCCCUGGGAACUAGCGGGCUGGAGUGCGGGAGGGGCAGGCGGAAUUCCUGGUGUAGCGGUGAAAUGCGUAGAUAUCAGGAGGAACACCAGCGGCGAAGGCAGCCUACUGGACCGCGACUGACGUUGAGGCUCGAAAGCGUGGGGAGCAAACAGGAUUAGAUACCCUUGUAGUC
rnacentral:rRNA from 1 species